GUUGGCCUCGGAUCAGGUGGGGAUACCCGCUGAACUUAAGCAUAUCAAUAAGCGGAGGAAAAGAAACCAACAGGGAUUGCCUCAGUAACGGCGAGUGAAGCGGCAACAGCUCAAAUUUGAAAUCUGGCGCAAGCCCGAGUUGUAAUUUGCAGAGGAUGUUUCGGGUGAAGCCACGGUCCAAGUCCCUUGGAACAGGACGUCAUAGAGGGUGAGAACCCCGUACCUGGCCGUCGGUGCCCCCCGCUGUGAAACUCCUUCGACGAGUCGAGUUGUUUGGGAAUGCAGCUCUAAAUUGGUGGUAAAUUCCAUCUAAAGCUAAAUACCGGCCAGAGACCGAUAGCGCACAAGUAGAGUGAUCGAAAGAUGAAAAGCACUUUGAAAAGAGAGUUAAAAAGUACGUGAAAUUGUUGAAAGGGAAGCGCUUGCGGCCAGACUUGCCCGCGGUUGCUCAGCCCGCCUUUUGGCGGGUGCACUCUUCCGCGGUCAGGCCAGCAUCGGUUUGGGCGGUCGGAUAAAGGCGCCGGGAACGUGGCCUCCCCUCGGGGAGGUGUUAUAGCCCGGCGCGCAAUGCGACCAGCCCGGACCGAGGUUCGCGCUUUGCUAGGAUGCUGGCGUAAUGGCCGUAAGCGGCCCGUCUUGAAACACGGACCAAGGAGUCUAACAUCUAUGCGAGUGUUUGGGUGUCAAACCCGUGCGCGUAAUGAAAGUGAACGGAGGUGGGAACCGCAAGGUGCACCAUCGACCGAUCCUGAUGUCUUCGGAAGGAUUUGAGUAAGAGCAUAGCUGUUGGGACCCGAAAGAUGGUGAACUAUGCGUGAAUAGGGUGAAGCCAGAGGAAACUCUGGUGGAGGCUCGCAGCGGUUCUGACGUGCAAAUCGAUCGUCAAAUUUGCGUAUAGGGGCGAAAGACUAAUCGAACCAUUU
rnacentral:rRNA from 3 species